GGGGCUGUAGCUCAUUGGUAGAGCGCCCGCCUUGCACGUGUGAGGCACUAGGUUCGAUCCUCAGCACUA
rnacentral:tRNA from 1 species